rfam:Halobacillus halophilus DSM 2266 complete genome
AAAAAAAAUAGGGCUGUCCAUCAUAGACAGCCCUUCUUCCUCGAACCCUGAGAUUCAAGAAAGUAAAGGGAGAGGAGAAACCGGAGGAAGUACUUAUGGGGAUGUAAGCCUUCUCCGUUU